rnacentral:rRNA from 1 species
CGCGUAGGCGGGCCGAAAAGUCCGCUGUGAAAGCCCGAGGCUUAACCUCGGCGGGUCGGUGGAUACUUUCGGUCUUGAAGGUGCUAGGGGGAGAUGGAAUUACCGGUGUAGCGGUGAAAUGCGUAGAUAUCGGUAGGAACACCAGUGGCGAAGGCGGUCUCCUGGGGCAUUCUUGACGCUGAGGCGCGAAAGCUGGGGGAGCGAACG